rnacentral:rRNA from 1 species
AGUGAACGCUGGCGGUAGGCCUAGCACAUGCAAGUCGAACGGCAGCACAGGAGAGCUUGCUCUCUGGGUGGCGAGUGGCGGACGGGUGAGGAAUACAUCGGAAUCUACUUUUUCGUGGGGGAUAACGUAGGGAAACUUACGCUAAUACCGCAUACGACCUACGGGUGAAAGCAGGGGACCUUCGGGCCUUGCGCGAUUGAAUGAGCCGAUGUCGGAUUAGCUAGUUGGCGGGGUAAAGGCCCACCAAGGCGACGAUCCGUAGCUGGGCUGAGAGGAUGAUCAGCAACACUGAAACUGAGCCACGGUCCAGACUCCUACGGGAGGCAGCAGUGGGGAAUAUUGGACAAUGGGCGCAAGCCUGAUCCAGCCAUACCGCGUGGGUGAAGAAGGCCUUCGGGUUGUAAAGCCCUUUUGUUGGGAAAGAAAUCCAGCUGGCUAAUACCGGUUGGGAUGACGGUACCCAAAGAAUAAGCACCGGCUAACUUCGUGCCAGCAGCCGCAGUAA